UGUAGCUCAGUGGUAGAGUGUUUGCAUGAGAUGCACCAGAUCCUGGGUUCGGUUCCCAGCA
rnacentral:tRNA from 1 species